rnacentral:rRNA from 1 species
AACGAACGCUGGCGGCAUGCCUAACACAUGCAAGUCGAACGAGACCUUCGGGUCUAGUGGCGCACGGGUGCGUAACGCGUGGGAACCUGCCCUUAGGUUCGGAAUAACUCCCCGAAAGGGGUGCUAAUACCGGAUAAUGUCUUCGGACCAAAGAUUUAUCGCCUUUGGAUGGGCCCGCGUUGGAUUCGCUAGUUGGUAGGGUAAAAGCCUACCAAGGCGACGAUCCAUAGCUGGUCUGAGAGGAUGAUCAGCCACACUGGGACUGAGACACGGCCCAGACUCCUACGGGAGGCAGCAGUGUGUAAUAUUGGACAAUGGGCGAAAGCCUGAUCCAGCAAUGCCGCGUGAGUGAGGAAGGCCUUAGGGUUGUAAAUCUCUUUUACCCGAGAUGAUAAUGACAGUACCGGGAGAAUAAGCGCCGGCUAACUCCGUG